rnacentral:rRNA from 1 species
GGAGGAAGAGAAAGAAAAUUCGAUUCCCUUAGUAGCGGCGAGCGAAACGGGAAGAGCCCAAACCAACAAGCUUGCUUGUUGGGGUUGUAGGACACUCUAUACGGAGUUACAAAGGACGACAUUAGACGAAUCAUCUGGAAAGAUGAAUCAAAGAAGGUAAUAAUCCUGUAGUCGAAAAUGUUGUCUCUCUUGAGUGGAUCCUGAGUACGACGGAGCACGUGAAAUUCCGUCGGAAUCUGGGAGGACCAUCUCCUAAGGCUAAAUACUCUCUAGUGACCGAUAGUGAACCAGUACCGUGAGGGAAAGGUGAAAAGCACCCCGGAAGGGGAGUGAAAUAGAACCUGAAACCGUGUGCUUACAAGUAGUCAGAGCCCGUUAAUGGGUGAUGGCGUGCCUUUUGUAGAAUGAACCGGCGAGUUACGAUUUGAUGCAAGGUUAAGCAGUAAAUGUGGAGCCGUAGCGAAAGCGAGUCUGAAUAGGGCGUUUAGUAUUUGGUCGUAGACCCGAAACCAGGUGAUCUACCCUUGGUCAGGUUGAAGUUCAGGUAACACUGAAUGGAGGACCGAACCGACUUACGUUGAAAAGUGAGCGGAUGAACUGAGGGUAGCGGAGAAAUUCCAAUCGAACCUGGAGAUAGCUGGUUCUCUCCGAAAUAGCUUUAGGGCUAGCCUCAAGUGAUGAUUAUUGGAGGUAGAGCACUGUUUGGACGAGGGGCCCCUCUCGGGUUACCGAAUUCAGACAAACUCCGAAUGCCAAUUAAUUUAACUUGGGAGUCAGAACAUGGGUGAUAAGGUCCGUGUUCGAAAGGGAAACAGCCCAGACCACCAGCUAAGGUCCCAAAAUAUAUGUUAAGUGGAAAAGGAUGUGGCGUUGCCCAGACAACUAGGAUGUUGGCUUAGAAGCAGCCAUCAUUUAAAGAGUGCGUAAUAGCUCACUAGUCGAGUGACACUGCGCCGAAAAUGUACCGGGGCUAAACAUAUUACCGAAGCUGUGGAUUGUCCUUUGGACAAUGGUAGGAGAGCGUUCUAAGGGCGUUGAAGCAUGAUCGUAAGGACAUGUGGAGCGCUUAGAAGUGAGAAUGCCGGUGUGAGUAGCGAAAGACGGGUGAGAAUCCCGUCCACCGAUUGACUAAGGUUUCCAGAGGAAGGCUCGUCCGCUCUGGGUUAGUCGGGUCCUAAGCUGAGGCCGACAGGCGUAGGCGAUGGAUAACAGGUUGAUAUUCCUGUACCACCUAUAAUCGUUUUAAUCGAUGGGGGGACGCAGUAGGAUAGGCGAAGCGUGCGAUUGGAUUGCACGUCUAAGCAGUAAGGCUGAGUAUUAGGCAAAUCCGGUACUCGUUAAGGCUGA